rnacentral:rRNA from 3 species
UGAGGAAUAUUGCGCAAUGGGGGAAACCCUGACGCAGCAACGCCGCGUGAGUGAGGAAGGUUUUCGGAUCGUAAAGCUCUGUCGGGUGGGAAGAAAUGUAUGGAGGUUAAUAGCCUUUGUACUUGACGGUACCGCCAAAGGAAGCACCGGCUAACUCCGUGCCAGCAGCCGCGGUAAUACGGGGGGUGCAAGCGUUGUUCGGAAUCAUUGGGCGUAAAGAGCGUGUAGGCGGCUGAGCAAGUCAGAUGUGAAAUCCCUGGGCUUAACCCAGGAAGUGCAUUUGAAACUGUUCAGCUUGAGUAAGGAAGAGGGAAGUGGAAUUCCUGGUGUAGAGGUGAAAUUCGUAGAUAUCAGGAGGAACACCGGUGGCGAAGGCGACUUCCUGGUCCUAUACUGACGCUGAGACGCGAGAGCGUGGGGAGCAAACAGG